AUUGAACGCUGGCGGAAUGCUUUACACAUGCAAGUCGAACGGUAGAGGGGGCAACCCCUCGAGAGUGGCGAACGGGUGAGUAAUAUAUCGGAACGUGCCCAGUCGUGGGGGAUAACGUAGCGAAAGUUACGCUAAUACCGCAUACGAUCUAAGGAUGAAAGCGGGGGAUCGCAAGACCUCGCGCGAUUGGAGCGGCCGAUAUCAGAUUAGGUAGUUGGUGGGGUAAAGGCUCACAAAGCCAACGAUCUGUAGCUGGUCUGAGAGGACGACCAGCCACACUGGGACUGAGACACGGCCCAGACUCCUACGGGAGGCAGCAGUGGGGAAUUUUGGACAAUGGGCGCAAGCCUGAUCCAGCCAUUCCGCGGGCAGGACGAAGGCCUUCGGGUUGUAAACUGCUUUUGUACGGAACGAAAAGGCUCUGGUUAAUACCUGGGGCUCAUGACGGUACCGUAAGAAUAAGCACCGGCUAACUACGUGCCAGCCGCCGCAGUAA
rnacentral:rRNA from 1 species